UAGGGAAUCUUCCACAAUGGACGAAAGUCUGAUGGAGCAACGCCGCGUGAGUGAAGAAGGUUUUCGGAUCGUAAAGCUCUGUUGUUGGUGAAGAAGGAUAGAGGCAGUAACUGGUUUCUAUUUGACGGUGAUCAACCAGAAAGUCACGGCUAACUACGUGCCAG
rnacentral:rRNA from 1 species